rnacentral:ncRNA from 1 species
UUAAUUACUAAGAUCAAGACUAGUAACAGAUUAUUUUUCUAAAGAGAGUCUUCUUUCAAAAGCUGCAAGAGAAGAUAGAAAAAGUCUGUGAAUUUCAUCUUGGGAGUAGGAUCUAAUCAAUUCCGGUAUUUCACCGUUAACGAAAACUUAAGUGUGGGCGUAUUGCGUCCAAACUAGGGUGGUACCGCGACGCUUCGUCCCUAUU